ACAGAGGGUGCGAGCGUUAAUCGGAAUUACUGGGCGUAAAGCGCACGUAGGCGGCUUGGUAUGUCGGGUGUGAAAUCCCCGGGCUCAACCUGGGAACUGCAUCCGAAACUGCCUUGCUAGAGUAUGGGAGAGGGAAGUGGAAUUUCCGGUGUAGCGGUGAAAUGCGUAGAUAUCGGAAGGAACAUCAGUGGCGAAGGCGACUUCCUGGACCAAUACUGACGCUCAGGUGCGAAAGCGUGGGGAGCAAACAGG
rnacentral:rRNA from 1 species